AAAUCGUGGUUGUUCCCUGAGAUCCGCAUACCUGAUAUGCCUCGAUGCAGAGGCCUAGACAUUUUCUAACCUGAAACUCCCACUUAAAUGGGCAUAAGAGAAAUGCUACUAGAGUUAUGAAAGAAAGAAAGAAAGAAAGGGCUAAAGGGGUCCCCGAAAAUCAGCAAGAAUUCACGAAUGCUUUUGGUUAAACCCACAGGCAGAGGCAGCAGCUUGAGCUUCUUCAGCUUUGGUUUGUUGUUAGAAAUGCUUGAAUUUGAAAUCCCAAUUACGUCUUAUCCCUGAUCCUUUCCCCUCUUUCAGUCAUAAACCUUAGUUUGUCCGAUACAAGUAGGGA
rnacentral:misc_RNA from 1 species